rnacentral:misc_RNA from 1 species
GCGGCCAUCAGAUACUUUUGGCAUGAAUGACCAUUUCAGACCAGAGGGGAAACCAGCACCACCACGUCCUCGGAGGCCAGACUUCUUGACUUCAUUAACAAUCCAAUCAGCACCCUUAAGUACCAAGUCCUUAGUUCUAUACCAGUCACCCCGUUUCAUGGCACCUUUGAGAAAAGGGUCAUGCAACCCAUACAAGUUGGUAAAAAUCCGGUCCUCAUCUUUCAAACCACCAAAAUGGGUUUUCUCCGGAGGUGGAGGAGGUGGUGGAGGCUGUGGACUACCAGCAUUUGUUGCAGCUUGGGUACUGAAUGAUUUGAAGCCUAUAUUCCACUUAUCACUAUGACGACGAAUCAAAGUAGCUCUUUGCAACGUAAAAAUGCCCCUAAUGGGUGCCAUAGCGAGAAGCGUCACAGAUUCUCUUUAAGGAUUGGGGAAUUCAGCUAAAUCGAGAAAGGCAACGGAGAAGAGAAGGAAUUAGAAGACGAAGAAUGGGGACCGGAGUCCUCUACUCUCUGGGAGCUGGAUUAUGCAAAUUGGACGGUGAUGAUCGUCUAAUGCUUGAUGAAAAGGUUCAGAGACCUUGUGAUGAUCAUGGUAACACGUAGAGAUAACCCCGUGUUGCCACC